UGGCUCAGUUGGUAGAGCAUGACGCUUGCAAUGCCAGGGUUGUGGGUUUGAAUCCCAU
rnacentral:tRNA from 1 species